UACAGAGGUCUCAAGCGUUAUCCGGAUUCACUGGGUUUAAAGGGUGCGUAGGUGGCUUUGUAAGUCAGUGGUGAAAGCCUGGAGCUCAACUCCAGAACUGCCAUUGAUACUGCUUAGCUUGAAUCACGUCGAGGUGGAUGGAAUAUUACAUGUAGCGGUGAAAUGCUUAGAUAUGUAAUAGAACACCGAUUGCGAAGGCAGUUCACUAGGCGUGUAUUGACACUGAGGCACGAAAGCGUGGGGAUCAAACAGG
rnacentral:rRNA from 1 species